rnacentral:rRNA from 1 species
AAUGAACGCUGGCGGCGUGCUUAACACAUGCAAGUCGAGCGAGGCGGAAGGAGGCAACUCCUUCCAGUCGAGCGGCGGACGGGUGAGUAACACGUGGGUAACCUGCCCGGAAGUGGGGAAUACCUCGGGGAAACUCGAGCUAAUACCGCAUGACAUCUUCGGGACGAAAGUCCUGGUGAUCAAAGCGGGGUCGCAAGAUCUCGCGCUACCGGAUGGGCCCGCGCCCGAUUAGCUAGUUGGUGAGGUAACGGCUCACCAAGGCUUCGAUCGGUAACCGGCCUGAGAGGGCGAUCGGUCACACCGGAACUGAGACACGGUCCGGACUCCUACGGGAGGCAGCAGUGGGGAAUCUUGCGCAAUGGGCGAAAGCCUGACGCAGCAACGCCGCGUGGAGGAUGAAGG